rnacentral:rRNA from 1 species
GAUGUACGCUGGCGGCGUGCCUAAUACAUGCAAGUCGAGCGAACAGACAAGGAGCUUGCUCCUCUGACGUUAGCGGCGGACGGGUGAGUAACACGUGGAUAACCUACCUAUAAGACUGGGAUAACUUCGGGAAACCGGAGCUAAUACCGGAUAAUAUAUUGAACCGCAUGGUUCAAUAGUGAAAGACGGUUUUGCUGUCACUUAUAGAUGGAUCCGCGCCGCAUUAGCUAGUUGGUAAGGUAACGGCUUACCAAGGCAACGAUGCGUAGCCGACCUGAGAGGGUGAUCGGCCACACUGGAACUGAGACACGGUCCAGACUCCUACGGGAGGCAGCAGUAGGGAAUCUUCCGCAAUGGGCGAAAGCCUGACGGAGCAACGCCGCGUGAGUGAUGAAGGUCUUCGGUUCGUAAAACUCUGUUAUUAGGGAAGAACAAAUGUGUAAGUAACUAUGCACGUCUUGACGGUACCUAAUCAGAAAGCCACGGCUAACUACGUG